GACAGAGGGUGCAAACGUUGCUCGGAAUUACUGGGCGUAAAGCGCGUGUAGGCGGGCCCCCCAAGUCGGACGUGAAAGCCCCCGAGCUCAACUCGGGAACUGCAUCCGAAACUGAGGGCCUUGAGUGAUGGAGAGGGAAGCAGAAUUCCUGGUGUAGAGGUGAAAUUCGUAGAUAUCAGGAGGAACACCGGUGGCGAAGGCGGCUUCCUGGACAUUGACUGACGCUGAGACGCGAAAGCGUGGGGAGCGAACAGG
rnacentral:rRNA from 1 species